UUGAAAAGAACUUUGAAGAGAGAGUUCAAGAGUACGUGAAACCGUUCAGGGGUAAACCUGAGAAACCCAAAAGAUCGAACGGGGAGAUUCAGCGUCAAUGCGUUCUGGUAUCCGUGCGAGGUUACGAUGCGCUCUUGGGUUCGCUCGAGAGUCACGUCUUCGCUGCGCGAUAAUUAUCCAGACGCGCCGGCNUGCACUUCUCCCUUAGUAGAACGUCGCGACCCGUUGAGUGCUGGUCCAAGGCUGUGGAUGGUCGACUGACGUUGACGUCUUUACGGACGUUUGACAACGUCAGACCUCCGCGUAUGGUCUGACCAGCUGCUCGACGGUAGAUGACUCGAGUAUAUCAAUUGGUAUAGAGCCGCAGUAAGUGCGUUCAGGCACUUCGUCNAGCGAGUUCAAGGAAUCUCGGGAUACGGACUUCGUGCGCCGGAUCUUGGGCUUGGCUUGCUUUUUUGGAAC
rnacentral:rRNA from 1 species